rnacentral:rRNA from 1 species
UGCAAGUCGAACGGCAGCACGGGUGCUUGCACCUGGUGGCGAGUGGCGAACGGGUGAGUAAUACAUCGGAACAUGUCCUGUAGUGGGGGAUAGCCCGGCGAAAGCCGGAUUAAUACCGCAUACGAUCUACGGAUGAAAGCGGGGGACCUUCGGGCCUCGCGCUAUAGGGUUGGCCGAUGGCUGAUUAGCUAGUUGGUGGGGUAAAGGCCUACCAAGGCGACGAUCAGUAGCUGGUCUGAGAGGACGACCAGCCACACUGGGACUGAGACACGGCCCAGACUCCUACGGGAGGCAGCAGUGGGGAAUUUUGGACAAUGGGCGAAAGCCUGAUCCAGCAAUGCCGCGUGUGUGAAGAAGGCCUUCGGGUUGUAAAGCACUUUUGUCCGGAAAGAAAUCCUUGGCUCUAAUACAGUCGGGGGAUGACGGUACCGGAAGAAUAAGCACCGGCUAACUACGUGCCAGCAGCCGCGGUAAUACGUAGGGUGCAAGCGUUAAUCGGAAUUACUGGGCGUAAAGCGUGCGCAGGCGGUUUGCUAAGACCGAUGUGAAAUCCCCGGGCUCAACCUGGGAACUGCAUUGGUGACUGGCAGGCUAGAGUAUGGCAGAGGGGGGUAGAAUUCCACGUGUAGCAGUGAAAUGCGUAGAGAUGUGGAGGAAUACCGAUGGCGAA